rnacentral:rRNA from 1 species
CCUAAUACAUGCAAGUCGAACGAGUUCUUGUUGAUGAUCGGUGCUUGCACCAAGAUUCAACAUGGAACGAGUGGCGGACGGGUGAGUAACACGUGGGUAACCUGCCCUUAAGUGGGGGAUAACAUUUGGAAACAGAUGCUAAUACCGCAUAGAUCCAAGAACCGCAUGGUUCUUGGCUGAAAGAUGACGUAAGCUAUCGCUUUUGGAUGGACCCGCGGCGUAUUAGCUAGUUGGUGAGGUAAUGGCUCACCAAGGCGAUGAUACGUAGCCGAACUGAGAGGUUGAUCGGCCACAUUGGGACUGAGACACGGCCCAAACUCCUACGGGAGGCAGCAGUAGGGAAUCUUCCACAAUGGACGCAAGUCUGAUGGAGCAACGCCGCGUGAGUGAAGAAGGCUUUCGGGUCGUAAAACUCUGUUGUUGGAGAAGAAUGGUCGGCAGAGUAACUGUUGUCGGCGUGACGGUAUCCAACCAGAAAGCCACGGCUAACUACGUGCCAGCAGCCGCGGUAAUACGUAGGUGGCAAGCGUUAUCCGGAUUUAUUGGGCGUAAAGCGAGCGCAGGCGGUUUUUUAAGUCUGAUGUGAAAGCCCUCGGCUUAACCGAGGAAGCGCAUCGGAAACUGGGAAACUUGAGUGCAGAAGAGGACAGUGGAACUCCAUGUGUAGCGGUGAAAUGCGUAGAUAUAUGGAAGAACACCAGUGGCGAAGGCGGCUGUCUGGUCUGUAACUGACGCUGAGGCUCGAAAGCAUGGGUAGCGAACAGGAUUAGAUACCCUGGUAGUCCAUGCCGUAAACGAUGAAUGCUAGGUGUUGGAGGGUUUCCGCCCUUCAGUGCCGCAGCUAACGCAUUAAGCAUUCCGCCUGGGGAGUACGACCGCAAGGUUGAAACUCAAAGGAAUUGACGGGGGCCCGCACAAGCGGUGGAGCAUGUGGUUUAAUUCGAAGCAACGCGAAGAACCUUACCAGGUCUUGACAUCUUUUGAUCACCUGAGAGAUCAGGUUUCCCCUUCGGGGGCAAAAUGACAGGUGGUGCAUGGUUGUCGUCAGCUCGUGUCGUGAGAUGUUGGGUUAAGUCCCGCAACGAGCGCAACCCUUAUGACUAGUUGCCAGCAUUUAGUUGGGCACUCUAGUAAGACUGCCGGUGACAAACCGGAGGAAGGUGGGGAUGACGUCAAAUCAUCAUGCCCCUUAUGACCUGGGCUACACACGUGCUACAAUGGAUGGUACAACGAGUUGCGAGACCGCGAGGUCAAGCUAAUCUCUUAAAGCCAUUCUCAGUUCGGACUGUAGGCUGCAACUCGCCUACACGAAGUCGGAAUCGCUAGUAAUCGCGGAUCAGCACGCCGCGGUGAAUACGUUCCCGGGCCUUGUACACACCGCCCGUCACACCAUGAGAGUUUGUAACACCCGAAGCCGGUGGCGUAACCCUUUUAGGGAGCGAGCCGUCUAAGGUGGGACAAAUGAUUAGGGUGAAGUC